GGUCACACGAAGUCCCCAAGGCACUGCUGUGUAAUAUCCAAAGCAUACCCAUACUCCUCAGAGGAUCCAUCUACCUUUGUGCACAAGAUAACAACAACAAGGAUAAAUCACCGUGGUAGCAGAACAGCUAACCUGCUCUGGAGCAGGAUAACUUCAGAGUAUCAGAUCACAGCCCGUCAACACCCCGACCUCUGACCAAUCAGAUCACUGAAGAAAAAGUAUCCAUGGACAACAGUCUGGAGUCUCAGGUUUGUUAACAAGAAGAAAACAUCCCAUGUCCCAAGAACAGAGUGAUUUUCUUCAUCAGAUCAUCCUCAGGAUGUCUCAUGUAUGGCCAUGGGCAGAAUAUAAGACAAUGGACCCCAGAGCAAAGACAAUGCAGAAGGCCCCAUCACCUCUCUUAUAUAGGAGCCAGACGCAGAUUGUAUAGAUUCUUUUGGUUGUUGUGUCUCUGUGGUUCGGUGUCUCUUUGAAGUUUUUUGUGUUUGUGGAAGU